rnacentral:rRNA from 1 species
GUGGGGAAUUUUGGACAAUGGGCGCAAGCCUGAUCCAGCAAUGCCGCGUGCAGGAUGAAGGCCUUCGGGUUGUAAACUGCUUUUGUACGGAACGAAAAGCUUCGGGCUAAUACCCUGGAGUCAUGACGGUACCGUAAGAAUAAGCACCGGCUAACUACGUGCCAGCAGCCGCGGUAAUACGUAGGGUGCAAGCGUUAAUCGGAAUUACUGGGCGUAAAGCGUGCGCAGGCGGUUUUGUAAGACAGAGGUGAAAUCCCCGGGCUCAACCUGGGAACUGCCUUUGUGACUGCAAGGCUAGAGUACGGCAGAGGGGGAUGGAAUUCCGCGUGUAGCAGUGAAAUGCGUAGAUAUGCGGAGGAACACCGAUGGCGAAGGCAAUCCCCUGGGCCUGUACUGACGCUCAUGCACGAAAGCGUGGGGAGCAAACAGGAUUAGAAACCCUGGUAGUCC